UACGAGGGGUGCGAGCGUUGUUCGGAAUUAUUGGGCGUAAAGGGUGCGUAGGCGGUUUGGUAAGUCUUAUGUGAAAUCUACAGGCUCAACUUGUAGUCUGCAUGAGAAACUGCCGGGCUUGAGUAUGGGAGAGGUGAGUGGAAUUCCCAGUGUAGAGGUGAAAUUCGUAGAUAUUGGGAAGAACACCGGUGGUGUAGACGGCUUUCUGGACCGUAACUGACGCUGAGACACGAAAGCGUGGGUAGCAAACAGG
rnacentral:rRNA from 1 species